AGACCUCACAGUGAAAUGCUGAAUACAACAGGUGUAGUAGACCUCACAGUGAAAUGCUGAAUACAACAGGUGUAGACCUCACAGUGAAAUACUUACUUACAGGCUCUAACCAACAGUGCAAAAAAGGUAUUAGGUGAACAAUAUUACAAUUAGGUAAAGAAACAAAACAACAGUAAAAAGACAGGCUAUAUACAGUAGAGGCUAUAUACAGUAGAGAGGCUAUAUACAGUAGAGAGGAUAUAUACAGUAGAGAGGCUAUAUACAGUAGAGAGGUUAUAUACAGUAGAGGCUAUAUACAGUAGAGGCUAUAUACAGUAGAGAGGUUAUAUACAGUAGAGAGGUUAUAUACAGUAGAGAGGUUAUAUACAGUAGAGAGGCUAUAUACAGUAGAGAGGCUAUAUACAGUAGAGAGGCUAUAUACAGUAGAGAGAGGCUAUAUACAGUAGAGAGGCUAUAUACAGUAGAGAGGCUAUAUACAGUAGAGAGGCUAUAUACAGUAGAGAGGCUAUAUACAGUAGAGAGGCUAUAUACAGUAGAGGCUAUAUACAGUAGAGGCUAUAUACAGU
rnacentral:lncRNA from 1 species